UNUGACUUGAGUGCAGAAGGGGAGAGUGGAAUUCCAUGUGUAGCGGUGAAAUGCGUAGAUAUAUGGAGGANCACCAGUGGCGAAAGCGGCUCUCUGGUCUGUCACUGACGCUGAGGCUCGAAAGCGUGGGUAGCGAACAGGAUUAGAUACCCUGGUAGUCCACGCCGUAAACGAUGAGUGCUAGGUGUUAGGCCCUUUCCGGGGCUUAGUGCCGGAGCUAACGCAAUAAGCACUCCGCCUGGGGAGUACGACCGCAAGGUUGAAACUCAAAGGAAUUGACGGGGGCCCGCACAAGCGGUGGAGCAUGUGGUUUAAUUCGAAGCAACGCGAAGAACCUUACCAGGUCUUGACAUCCCGAUGCUAUUCUUAGAGAUAGGAAGUUACUUCGGUACAUCGGAGACAGGUGGUGCAUGGUUGUCGUCAGCUCGUGUCGUGAGAUGUUGGGUUAAGUCCCGCAACGAGCGCAACCCUUAUUGUUAGUUGCCAUCAUUAAGUUGGGCACUCUAGCGAGACUGCCGGCAAUAAACCGGAGGAAGGUGGGGAUGACGUCAAAUCAUCAUGCCCCUUAUGACCUGGGCUACACACGUGCUACAAUGGUCGGUACAACGAGUUGCGAGCCGGUGACGGCAAGCUAAUCUCUGAAAGCCGAUCUCAGUUCGGAUUGGAGGCUGCAACUCGCCUCCAUGAAGUCGGAAUCGCUAGUAAUCGCGGAUCAGCACGCCGCGGUGAAUACGUUCCCGGGCCUUGUACACACCGCCCGUCACACCACGAGAGUUUGUAACACCCGAAGUCGGUGAGGUAACCUUUUAGGGGCCAGCCGC
rnacentral:rRNA from 1 species